rnacentral:rRNA from 1 species
GGACCUGACUGCUAUCGGAUUCGCACACUAAGCCAUGCGAGUCAUUGUAGCAAUACAAGGCAUACGGCUCAGUAACGCGUAGUCAACCUAACCUAUGGACGGGAAUAACCUCGGGAAACUGAGAAUAAUGCCCGAUAGAACAUUAUGCCUGGAAUGGUUUAUGUUCCAAAUGAUUUAUCGCCGUAGGAUGGGACUGCGGCCUAUCAGUUUGUUGGUGAGGUAAUGGCCCACCAAGACUAUUACAGGUACGGGCUCUGAGAGGAGUAGCCCGGAGAUGGGUACUGAGACACGGACCCAGGCCCUAUGGGGCGCAGCAGGCGAGAAAACUUUGCAAUGUGCGAAAGCACGACAAGGUUAAUCCGAGUGGUUUCUGCUAAAGAAACCUUUUGUCAGUCCUAGAAACACUGAUGAAUAAGGGGUGGGCAAGUUCUGGUGU